AUGGCUCAGGAUGAACGCUAGCGACAGGCUUAACACAUGCAAGUCGAGGGGCAGCACGGGAGUAGCAAUACAACUGGUGGCGACCGGCGCACGGGUGAGUAACGCGUAUGCAACCUACCUAUCAGAGGGGAAUAACCCGGCGAAAGUCGGACUAAUACCGCAUAAAACAGGGGCACCGCAUGGUGAUAUUUGUUAAAGAGAUUCGCUGAUAGAUGGGCAUGCGUUCCAUUAGGUAGUUGGUGAGGUAACGGCUCACCAAGCCGACGAUGGAUAGGGGAACUGAGAGGUUGGUCCCCCACACUGGUACUGAGACACGGACCAGACUCCUACGGGAGGCAGCAGUGAGGAAUAUUGGUCAAUGGGCGGGAGCCUGAACCAGCCAAGUCGCGUGAAGGAAGAAGGAUCUAUGGUUCGUAAACUUCUUUUGCAGGGGAAUAAAGUGCAGGACGUGUCCUGUUUUGUAUGUACCCUGAGAAUAAGGAUCGGCUAACUCCGUGCCAGCCGCAGC
rnacentral:rRNA from 1 species